AACGUAGGUGGCGAGCGUUAUCCGGAUUUACUGGGCGUAUAGGGUGUGCAGGCGGGCUGUUAAGUGGGGUAUGAAAUCGCCGGGCUCAACCGGGCGAGGUUAUGCCAGACUGGCAGUCUAGAGAGCGAGAGAGGGACGUGGAAUUCCGGGUGUAGUGGUGAAAUGCGUAGAGAUCCGGAGGAACCCCAGAGGCGAAGGCGGCGUCCUGGCUCGCAUCUGACGCUCAGACACGACAGCAUGGGGAGCGAACGGG
rnacentral:rRNA from 1 species